GAAGCAUGUGAUUUAAUUCGAUACAAAGCGAAGAACCUUACCAGGGUUUGACAUGUUGCGAAUUCUCUUGAAAAAGGGGUGCCUUCGGGAACCCAGACAUAGGUGGUGCAUAACUGUCGUCGGUUCGUGCUGUAAAGUUGGGUUAAGUUCCACAAUGAAAGCAACCGUCAUGUUUAGUUGCAUUCAUUGAAUUUUGGCCCGAACAAGCUAUCGGUGAUAAGUCGGAGGAAAGUGAUGAUUUAUCUUAUGAUUUGAAUUAGUAGAUUUUUUAUGAUUC
rnacentral:rRNA from 1 species